UUCGGAUUGCAGGCUGCAACUCGCCUGCAUGAAGCUGGAAUCGCUAGUAAUCGCGGGUCAGCAUACCGCGGUGAAUGUGUUCCUGAGCCUUGUACACACCGCCCGUCAAGCCACGAAAGUGGGGGGCAUCCGAAGUCGCCGAGGUAACCCUGUCUCUUCGGAGAUGGGGAGCCAGUCGCCUAAGAUGAACUCUGUGAUUGGGACUAAGUCGUAACAAGGUAGCCGUAGGGGAACCUGCGGCUGGAUCACCUCCUUUCUAAGGA
rnacentral:rRNA from 1 species